UCUGAAGCUGAGACAGCUUCAUGAGAGCUGAGUCCUCAUACCAGUAGGGACUGACCCCAGCUCCAGGUGAUUAUGGCUGGGCUAGCCAGCUCUAUAUCCGUGGGAUGGAUGACAGAAUGUUCUGGAAACUCACCCUACUGGGUGUGAAUACCCUGGAGAGGAAACUCUGAGUCCAUUUAGGAGAUAGUUUGAAACCCAGAGGAAUUUAGAGCUGAGUAAAGAGGCAAUGAGGUGGAUCAGAAAGCUGGCAUUUAUAUUUUUGAGCUGGGCUCAGAAUUGGGGAUCUCUGGCACUUGAAGGAAAUAGAACAACUAAGGGAAUUUGAGUUAUUGGACUAUUAACAUCAGCCUGUGGCUCUGAUUUUAAAUGUGUCCUUGAGUCAUUGAUUUUUACCUGUGAUUGCAAGUUGAAAUCUUACCAAGUUGGUAAACAGUUUUUGAAUAUUUAGAAAUCACCCUAAUUAUAUGUUUAAUGUUGUUAUCUGAUUUAUAGGAAUCAGGCAAGGGCUGGAGAAUGUUUGUCAGAUAAUUGAACAACGUUGACAACCCAGUAGAAGGCAUUCUGAUUGCAGCUUCGAAUGUUUCAAGGAGUUUAAUUAACUAAGUUGUUGCCAUCUGGAACAAGUCCCAGCCCAGCACCGUGUCUUUGCUGACUGCACUGCAAUGUCCCCCUGGGGCACUGGUCAGAGGGAGAUCUCACACCGGUCAGUGCCCUUGCCUGGGUCGCUCAGCUUGUCACUACUGUAAUGAAACAUCCAAGGAAGGCCACCUGCCAGAGAAAAGAAGAAUCCAGUGAUUUGAGCCAUCACAUCACCCGCCUCCCUCCUGCCCAGGGCCACAGCAUCACAUGGCCAGUGACGAGGAACCUGCAGAUGAGCCUCCAUGUGCAUGGGCUCCCCAGAAACCCACCAGGAUUCAAUCCCCAGGCUCCGUUCUCCUGACCUGAUGGGAUCUAGUCACUUCUGGACGGCCCCACCUCCAAGCUCCACGUGACCUUUAAAAAAGACCCCAAGUCAAUUGGCAGGAAUA